GUCAAGGGAGUCUACUUUUUGGGAGUUUUACUUUCGAACGGCCCCGCAUACAUUCGCUGCAGUAGUGGACCAGCUUUAAACUUGCAAUACGAGCCUCCGUGUCUUGUCAUAAAAUUGCAUGAUUUUGCUAUUACAUGACGAAAAGUCAUGAUUUUAUUAAAGACACGGCGGCGAGUAUUGUCCCACCCAUGUUAUACUCUCUUAUGUUAUAUAAUUUUUUCCCACCC